CGGCAGUCAGAAGAACGCGCGUGCAGUGGUUCAGUGUUCCAGUGAAUGUGAACUCUUUCAUUCAGACACACGUGAUGUCAGUGCAGAUGUGAAAUCAUCAUCACCACACACUGGACUCUGUGUUUGUGUAGAAAUAAAAACUCGUUAUGGACACUUAUGGAAAUAUUGCGUUCAUACUGUACUACUGUUCUAUCAUCACAGCAUCUUCACCUUCUGCUCAGACGUCCAUAAGGAGAAGAGAUGAAGUGUCUGAUCAUGUCGACAUGUCCUCAUCCUUCAUCAGAGAUCAGACAGAGAACACACCUCACACACUACACACUACAGCAGAUGAGCGUCGACUGAACACCACUGAGAACAUCACAGAUUUUUCACCUGUCAAUCAUCAGACAACAUUAACACUCGCUCAACUCCUGCCAUCCACAACACAACAUCCUGAGACCACCGCCGUCCAUCAGACAUCAUAUACCACCAUUCAUCUGACAACACAACGUCCUGAGACCACUGACCAUCUGACACCCACCGACACUCAGAAAUCCCCCUGACAUCAGCUGCAGUCAUCAUCAGCAGUCCUGCGCAGCCAGAUGCUCGUGUGGAAACUCCGUCUGCACUCAAUGUCGGAGAUGAUGUUUUGGACAUCUACCCCAGAGAGUCUUCUGAUCCACUGCUGGCCGGUCUCGUGUCUGCGUUUGUCAUCAUCGCUGCUGUUGUGUCCGUCCUCAUAUUCCUGACAUUCAGAAACAGAAACGAUGGAGCAGAAUUCAGCAGACUGAGAGAUCUGCCCAUGGAAGAUAUGCUGGAGGACGCUCCUCUCUCCACAUACAACUACUGAACACACUCGUGUCUUCAUGUGUCGUCUCUCUUCACCAACAGAGAGAUAGACAUUAGACAGACAGACAGACAGAUCUGAGGCGGACCGACAGAUGUGAGACAGACAUGAAAAAGACCUGAGAUGGAUAGACGUGAGACAGACGUGCGACAGACCCGAGACAGACGUGAGACGUAAGACAGACAGACCUGAGACAGAUGUGAGACAGACAGCUUAUGAUGAGCUCAUGUUGUCUCUGUUACAGAAAUGAUCUUGAACACUUUAUGUUGACUUUGAGAACAGGUUUUGUGCCGGUGAACUCCACAUCUACUCAGUUCAGAUCAACUUCAGCCCUCUGUGUUUGUUUUACUCUGUCAAGUCUUCUGUGGGAUGUUCCAGUAUAUUAUGGGCUUGUGAGGUGGUUUGAGGUUCACAUGCAUCUGAAGGACACACUCACACACGAUCUGACUGAUCUGUACAAAUGUGAACGUAAAGUUGUUUUCUGAGCAAACACUGGUUAACAGACAAACUGCUUCCGAAGUUUUAAGCCCUAAUCCUAAUAUAAUUGAAAUACAAUAUAAAAACAUGUGCCAUCAGUGAUCAAUGCAGAUUUGUCAAUGAAUUUGUACAUGUGUUUAUGUUGGAAAAGCUUUAUUAAUAUCAGUAAAUAACGAUGAUGUUGGUGUUAAUACAGCAUGUGAUACUGAUCACUUGGAUUGAAAGUUUUCUGACACGUUUUAAAACUAUUAAUCUUCAAAUAAAACACUUGUGUAUUCAAGUCAUUGCUCUUAACGUCUUAUCAAUACCAACACAACAUCUCAAUGAAAUAAUGUGUAGUCAGCUCAUGUUAUUAAACUGAAGACUACAGUGAAGACAGAUCCAUUUGAACACUCCUCACUAAAACUCUUCAACAUCAGUUCAUGUUUCAGGAAGAGAUCAAGAUGAGUCCAUCAUCUGCUAACUCAUGGUCCUCUGUAAACACCUGAAUCUGAACACCUAAACAAACAAAGCUGUGAACUCCUCCUCGACUGUUCUCAACACUGCUAGUCACAAACCAAGGUUCUGACUGGACGCUUACAUUUAAAAAUAAUUUUAUGGCUCCAUUUUAUAACUUAUUUCAUGAGCUAAUCCAUCAGAAACACUCACGUGUCUCAACUGUCUGUGGGUGUGUGUGGUCUUGUUUAUAUCCCGGUGGGGACUUAAAACCUGAAUGCACACCUUCUAAUGGGGACUCGCGUCACCGUGGUGAUCAAUAUGGAUGUUCCUAUGGGACAACAGACACAAUAGAUUGAGUGUUCUCUGUUCCUCUGACACUUUAUUCAUUUCACUGAGGUCACUCAAAGGUCACUGAGACUGAGAUCCGGUGGACUGCUUGAACCUCCAUCCACACCUUCAGCUCCA